CAGCCGCCGCGGUAAUACAGAGGGUGCGAGCGUUAAUCGGAUUUACUGAGCGUAAAGCGUGCGUAGGCGGCUUUUUAAGUCGGAUGUGAAAUCCCUGAGCUUAACUUAGGAAUUGCAUUCGAUACUGGGAAGCUAGAGUAUGGGAGAGGAUGGUAGAAUUCCAGGUGUAGCGGUGAAAUGCGUAGAGAUCUGGAGGAAUACCGAUGGCGAAGGCAGCCAUCUGGCCUAAUACUGACGCUGAGGUACGAAAGCAUGGGGAGCAAACAGGAUUAGAUACCCCUGUAGUCCCUGUCUCUUAUAC
rnacentral:rRNA from 1 species